AUCAGCCCUGAGCAGGCAAAAGGAGAGACCGACACAAACAGCAUGAGAACAACAAUCAAAGCCACAAAAUAUUUAGCUCCCCAGCUCUGUGCUUACUGGCCAGGAAAUGCUACCAAUUUUUCAGUGUUGUGCUCGACUGCUUCUUUUGCCACUAGCAAAAAAGAAUCGAACAGUGUGUUUCAAGGCUGGGGGAGUUGACUGUGUUAAAGACCAUUAAAUGCUUUCGACUAUUUAUGCAUACCUUUUGAUGGCUGUUCAUUUAAAAAAAAAAAAAGUUUUCAUUGUUGUGUAUCCAGAAAGCAUUUUAUAUAGUCCAGUAAAAUCUGUCAUUUUGUUUUAAGGAAAUAUGUCAUAUCAGGUGAAACAAUAUUUGUAUUUCAAAGCAUGUCUACAUAAAGACAACCCAGUGAUAUUUUCAAGACAAAUGGAAACGGUGUCCCUUGCAACAAAGAAGCUUAUUUAGUGACACUGAUUUUACAUUCAAUUUCAAGGGACACAAAACCAGGAAUAGCCUGUCACUGAGAAUGGUUUUUGAACAUGUCUACUCCAUGCAGUGUGCACACCUGUAAUUCUCAUGCUCCUAUCUGCAACAGCACUCUGUUUUUAGAAAUUUUUAGUUAUAUCGUCUAUUCACCCUCAUGGGGGAAAAAGACAAUUACCCACAGACAACAGAUCUAAAACCCCCUUAAAGUUUAGCCAGUAGUGUGCUCAUUGCCUGUGGCACUGAACUACGGUAAAUGAUCACGCCCAAAGGGACACCACUUGGUGACCCCAUGAGAUCAAAAGUUGACUGAAUGGACAUGCUUGCAUGUCCACAAGUUUGCUUUCCAACUUACACCAUCUCUAUUUCUAUGACCUCUGACAGAGCAAAGGAGCAUUUAUCUACAGUGACAGACAAAACCUCCAAGAAAAGGAAGAUCAGGAAUCUGCACAACAUUUGCUCUUUGCUCUGAAGCCAAUACACCAGAAAGAAACCACAAGGAAGCGAUGGUUGGCAAUAAUCCCUUUCUGCCUCUGAUCCAUAGUAAAUAUUUCAUUGAUAAAUGCUCCAGGAAAACCAGCCAUGUCUAUGCAACCAGGGUUCGCCCUCCCACACACUCACCUGAGCAUGCCGUACCUGAUAGCUGAGCAGCCCUAGGUAUGUUCUCUGCCCCAGAAAUAACCCAGUUCCCUGAACAAAUCCUCCAGAAAUCCCAGCUGUCAGCAAAGAAGGUUCUGGAAACUCUGCUCCCCUGACCAUUUCUAAGCGUUUCUCUUGUCAGCCCUCAGCCCAAGCUGGAAACACAAACUUACUUGCUUAUCUCUUUCCUUUGUGUUUGCUUCCCUGAGAACAUAAGUCUAAAAAUACAAUGAGCAAAGUAACGUAUUGAUCUGAUGAAAAAGCAAAAAAAAAAAAAAAAAAAAAAAAAAUCACCUUAAGUCAAGAGUAUAUUCUGAAUCAGCUAGUUACAGCUGCUGGAAGGGAACAAAAAUCACUAUUUUUCUGUGUUUAAAUACUUGCACAAGAAAGCGGGGGCUUUUUUCCUCCCACUGCUUUGAGAAGCAAGGAUGCUUCCAGACGUGUACUUUUCGAAGUGGGUUCAUAAGUUACUUCUCCUUGUUUUUAGCAGAAGCAGUUCUGACUGAAAGGUUCAUCUCAUUAACUGAAGCAGCUGGGAAGCUUCCCCUACCUAGGGAAGCUAUAUGUCUUCACAAAGGUUUAAGUUCUUUUCUCUGCCACUGCAUUUCAGAUCAGUACAACCAUCUUAAUCUGAAGACGUAUUUCCCAGAAUAUGGAAAUAGAGCAUAGGAUUUUAGGUGUGUCUUAUGAUCCCCUGUGGGAGGCCAUACUUCAGGCAGCAAGAAUCUAGCAAGGGGACAAGAACUCACUUGUACUUACUCUGGUUGAACACAGCAUCACUUUUCAAGCCCAGGGAAGAAAGGCAGUGAGGAAAGGGGCCAGGGCUGUGGGGCAAGUUACACAGUCGUUAUUUUUGUGUCCUUUCUUUGUCCCUCUCCUAUGUGCGUGACCCUUAUGCUGGUUACCUUCACCCCCUACACCCGGCAUCAGUUGUCCUUGACUGAUCUUCCUGUCUAAAGAAGCAGAGUGCAGUAAAAAGCAAGACCAGAUAUCUUGGGUGUGAGGAAAGGCAGAAGACCAGAUGAAGAGUUGUGGCUUGAUUUGUCGUUUUAGCCAGGAUAAAAUUUUUGCUCUGAAAUCGAAAUGAGCUCGUCCAUAAGUGGGAGGUAACUUAUUCUAAACAAGUUGCUGAAAAUAGGGAACCAGACCCAAGAUUCUCCAGUGAUGAGGAAAGGGGAAAUCUCUGCUUUCUGGGUGUAGAGUAGCAAGGUAGGAUAGCAAAUAUGAACUUGGAGAACAAGAGAGGAGAAAUUGAGUUAGAAAUCCACAGAGGUUAACAAUUAAGCAUCAGAAAGGUCUUGACACAUAACCAGGAAUGUAUUGAGUGUUCCCUCUACCAGGUUCUGUGCUAAGCACUCUGUGUUUAUUUCCUGUUUCUUACUUCUGAUAAUAACCUGGUGAGAUCAAAGCUGUCAUUAUCUUCAUUGUACAGGGGAAGAAGUUGUGUCUCAGGUUAGUUGCCCACAUCCUAUAGCUAGGACACAGGCUAGGCUCCAAAAGCCAUUAUACAUCUGUGUUUUUUUUUGAAUGACACAGUAUUGUUUCUCCUUUUUUCCAUUUGAAAAAUACAGAAAAUGCAGGCAAGUAAGUAUGAGCCAUUAUUCCACCCUGUAAAAUGGAUGUAAAACAGCACUGACCACUAGAAAUACAAUGUAAGCUACUGUGGUGGCUUACAACUUAAAAUUUUGAGUAGUCACAUUCAGAAAGUAGAAAAACAGGGUAAAUCUAUUUUAAUAUGUUUCUUAACCCUCCCACCACAACUAGAGGUGGGAAAAAGGGCUGGUGUCUUUUCUCCUUGCUUUGAAAGAUAAUUUUGUUAUAGGAAAAUAGAGGAUUAGGCAUACAGGCACCCACCACAGGUACUUGUGACAUGUGCUUCCAUGGGCCAUGUAAUAGAAGUUAGCCUCUGGUUGGAAGCAAGGGGGAACAAACCAGCCCCCUUGUAAAAUUUGUCAUUUUAUAAGGUAAUGGCUCACUUUUAGAUUUGAAAAAAAAAAA